CAUACUCCAUAGCACAUUUAAUAUAUCCAUUCAUUGAUUAAUCGCCGGAUUUGUAUCAUCGUCGUCUGGAUUUGAUUCUCGGAGAAGAAGAUCGAGAUUCCCAACGCCGGCAGGAGGACCGAUGCUACAUCGUGCAGUGAGGUGUGUCGCAAUGGCUUCUUUUAUUUUUUUGAACUGAAAAUUCAAUCACACAUAUUGAUUUCUCGAUUUCUUUUUGACAUUAACAUUGAAAUUUGAAAGUAAACCUAAUUACCUUUGGGAGUGAGCAUGAAAAGGCAUCUAAGAGACCAUCAGCACCACGGUAGAAAUGGAAAUAAGGAAGAACCUUGACAUUCAAUCGUCUGCACAUUGGUUUGUUCGCAUCGAAAUCGACUUUCACAAACAAGAGAUCGGAAUGUUGCUGCCCAACCGUUUUGCAAAGCUAACAGAUUCAACUAAAACAAGCUGAGCAUCUAACUUACUUUGAUUACAAAUCACAAAUCACUCGUUCGCUCACCCUUGGAAAGAUUGCACGGCAAGAGGCACACCAAGUUCCAUAAAAUUCAACCAAGACGAGCUUAUCUCCUGCCUCACACAGCGCGUUCAAGAAUUCCUCCGUCGACCUCACAUCGAUCGUGUUUGCAGGAGCGUUUCGUUCCCACCACUUGGGUCGGUCGCUUCUAUCAACUGCCUGAAUUAUAUAAUAAAACCAAAAUAACCCAAAUUCAUAAAAAUAACCCGAAAUCCGAAGAUGAUCCAAUUAAAUUUCUUUCCAAUUUCCAGUUUAAAACCCCCAUCACAUUCACAGACCUUUAUCGACCUAAAUCUCCGAGGAAGACGGUGAGAAACCGAACCAGAAGGACCGCUAAACACAGACUGCAAGGAGGAGAACGAGAACGGCGAUGGAGAGGAUGGAAACAGUAGUUGCUGGGGAGAAUGCUUGAGGAGAGAAGAGAACCCAACUACAAGCAAUCGAUUGGUCAUUGUGGGAAUUGGAAACAAGAGAUGGAU
rnacentral:lncRNA from 1 species